AGUCGCAAGCUCGCGAGAGUAAGCUAAUCUCUUAAAGCCGUUCUCAGUUCGGCCUGUAGGCUGCAACUCGCCUACACGAAGUCGGAAUCGCUAGUAAUCGCGGAUCAGCAUGCCGCGGUGAAUACGUUCCCGGGCCUUGUACACACCGCCCGUCACACCAUGGGAGUUUGUAACGCCCAAAGUCGGUGGCCUAACCUUUAUGGAGGGAGCCGCCUAAGGCGGGACAGAUGACUGGGGUGAAGUCGUAACAAGGUAUC
rnacentral:rRNA from 1 species